rnacentral:rRNA from 1 species
ACUGCUAUCGAGGUUCGACUAAGCCAUGCGAGUCGAAUGUAGCAAUACAUGGCGAACUGCUCAGUAACACGUGGACAACCUGCCCUUAGGUUGGGUAUAAACCCGGGAAACUGGGUAUAAUACCCGAUAGGUCUCGAUUGCUGGAAUGCAUCGAGAUUUAAAGCUCCGGCGCCUAAGGAUGGGUCUGCGGCCUAUCAGGUAGUAGUGGGUGUAGCGUACCUACUAGCCUACGACGGGUACGGGUUGUGAGAGCAAGAGCCCGGAGAUGGAUUCUGAGACACGAAUCCAGGCCCUACGGGGUGCAGCAGGCGCGAAAACUUUACAAUGCUGGCAACAGCGAUAAGGGAACCUCGAGUGCCAGGUUACAAAUCUGGCUGUCGAGAUGCCUAAAAAGCAUUUCAUAGCAAGGGCCGGGCAAGACCGGUGCCAGCCGCCGCGGUAACACCGGCGGCUCGAGUGGUAACCGUUAUUAUUGGGUCUAAAGGGUCUGUAGCCGGCCGGAUAAGUCUCUUGAGAAAUCUGGCAGCUUAACUGUCAGGCUUUCAGGAGAUACUGUCUGGCUCGAGGCCGGGAGAGGUGAGAGGUACUUCAGGGGUAGGGGUGAAAUCUUGUAAUCCUUGAAGGACCACCAGUGGCGAAGGCGUCUCACCAGAACGGACCUGACGGCAAGGGACGAAAGCUAGGGGCACGAACCGGAUUAGAUACCCGGGUAGUCCUAGCCGUAACGAUACUCGCUAGGUGUCGGCCACGGU